AUUGAACGCUGGCGGCAGGCCUAACACAUGCAAGUCGAACGAGUGGCGGACGGGUGAGUAAUGUCUGGGACACUGCCCGAUGGAGGGGGAUAACUACUGGAAACGGUAGCUAAUACCGCAUACCAUCGGAUGUGCCCAGAUGGGAUUGGCUAGUAGGUGGGGUAACGGCUCACGUAGGCGCCGAUCCCUAGCUGGUCUGAGAGGAUGACCAGCCACACUGGAACUGAGACACGGUCCAGACUCCGACGGUAGGCAGCAUUGGGGAAUAUUGCACAAUGGGCGCAAGCCUGAUGCAGCCAUGCCGCGUGUAUGAAGAAGGCCUUCGGGUUGUAAAGUACUGUCAGCGAGGAGGCGUUACUCGCAGAAGAAGCACCGGCUAACUCCGUGCCAGCAGCCGCGGUAAUAC
rnacentral:rRNA from 1 species